GGUGAGUAACGCGUUGGUGACCUGCCCCAAAGUGUGGGAUAACAGUCCGAAAGGAUUGCUAAUACCUCAUGUGGCCAUCGGGUUUAGAAACCGAUGUCUAAAGCAGCAAUGCGCUUGGGGAGGGACCUGCGUCCCAUCAGCUAGUUGGUGAGGUAACGGCCCACCAAGGCUACGACGGGUAGGGGGCCUGAGAGGGUGGCCCCCCACAAUGGAACUGAAACACGGUCCAUACACCUACGGGUGGCAGCAGUAGGGAAUAUUGCACAAUGGGUGAAAGCCUGAUGCAGCAACGCCGCGUGAGCGAUGAAGGCCUUCGGGUCGUAAAGCUCUUUUCUGGGAGAUGAGAAAGGACAGUAUCCCAGGAAUAAGUCUCGGCUAACUACGUGCCAGCAGCCGCGGUAAAACGUAGGAGGCAAGCGUUAUCCGGAUUCACUGGGCGUAAAGCGCGUGCAGGCGGUUUGGUAAGUUGGACGUGAAAUCUCCCGGCUCAACUGGGAGGGGUCGUUCAAUACUACCAGACUCGAGAGCGAUAGAGGAAAAUGGAAUUCCCGGUGUAGUGGUGAAAUGCGUAGAUAUCGGGAGGAACACCAGUGGCGAAAGCGAUCUUCUGGAUCGUUUCUGACGCUCAGACGCGAAAGCUAGGGUAGCAAACGGGAUUAGAGACCCCGGUAGUCCUAGCUGUAAACGAUGUGAACUUGGCGUUGGUGGCUUAAACUCCAUCAGUGCCGCAGCUAACGCGAUAAGUUCACCGCCUGGGGACUACGGCCCGCAGGGUU
rnacentral:rRNA from 1 species